GACGUCGUCUCUUUCCCCAUUUCUCUUCUCUAACCUUCUUCAACAGUGUCGAUUGAGUGAAGACGGAAUAAUUUCGAGUGAGAUUGAUCACCAACAGUGAGAUUUUUAUUCACAUAGUUCGUGUCUACGGUUUUGUUUCACUCUCAUGGUAUUUGAUUGACUGAUACGGGUUGAAAACAGGUAACUGGUUGUUGAAAACCUUAGUUUUCUUACAAGAGAUCGACAUAUUUACAAACAUAAUGAGAACCAAUUGGAGAAGAUUGCAAUGUAAUCCAUAUGUUAUAGCAUUGAAGUAUAAGUGCGGGGCAUGUAGAAGAGUCCAGUUAGAACUAUGACAAGCUAUAAUGCAUAUUCAAGCAGAUAUGAAAGUGCUAGGCAUUUUUCAUUGCUCAUGUCCCCUGCAUCCUUCCAUAUCACAAACUAUCUGUGGAGGCUAAAAUAAAGUGAUCAAGUAAGAAAUUAGAGAGAAUCGAAAGUCUGUGUUAGUUGUAGAGGAAGUUGUGCAUGUCGUUAGUAAGUGGACCAGCAGAAGCUCCACCAGAUUUGAAUGAUCCUAAACAAAAGGCGGAGUAAGAUUACUGAGGAGUUUGUGGUGAGCAUCUAAAUGUUAUUGAUACAGCUGAAGUUAUAGCACAAGGCAACCACAAUAAGCAUUUUUUUGUUAUUUUAUGGGAUAUGAUAGAUGAGUUAAAGGUUCAAUUAGCUAUUUUGUGAUGCUGACAUUCUUUGUUUCAAAGGAAUCCGGAGGUAUACACAACAUUUCUAAAAUUUCUUAUUGCUCUCUUCUCAGGUUAGCGGUUUAAUGCUUGCAAGCCAUAUUGUUUCAAAAGAAUUCAAGUAUGAGACACUUGUUCAGCAAAUGUUUGAGCCAAUAUGAGAAGCUAGCCUUUUUUGAAUUAUCGCAAGUUCCCUAUGUUUGCAGUACGCCAAAUAUUCUCAAGUCUAUUUGUUAUUUCAGUUUGAAACCAUGAAUUCCAUAGUUCAGUCUUCGGAAAUUGCUUUUGUGUUGUCAUAUAUGCUUAUUAGUCAAAGCCAGUAAUCAAUCACUUAAGUAGGUUUAGAAACUGACAAGUUACAAAACUAAUGCCGUUGUGUACAUGAUCCUGUUCGUGCUAUGACGGGGUCAGUGGAUUCCAAAUCAGUAGUGCAAGCACACAUAGGAGGAGCUUAAGUAAGAGAGGCAGCGGAGGAAGAGAAGCUCAUCAACUCUAUCUAGUGCAACAUUGCCCCCAGUUACAAAGGCUUCAGCUUCACAGGCAACACCAUGAACUGCAAAUUCAGCAUUGCCAUGUCAGCAUCUCCACAUGUCUCACCAAUAACUGUCGUGUCAGCAUUGCCACAUGUCUGGUUGCCAGCUAAGAUGGUUUAACUGUAGUUAAAGAGCUUGAGUUAGAAGAAAGGGUAUUUUGGAGACAAAUGACACCGUUUUUUCCCCAAACUGUUAUCUCGGACAGAUCAUGAUCAUUUUGUAAACCAAUUACAAAAGUAUGACCUUUUUGUAAACGAAUUAUAAAAAGUAGGACCAUUUUAUAAUUGGCCCAAUAAAAUAUUAAGUAACGAUAUAAAAUGA